rnacentral:misc_RNA from 1 species
UAUUUUAGAAUAAAUUAGCGCCUCUCUUUGCUCAGACAAGCGUCUGGACCUUGGGCGAUGGAGGACCUUCUCGCCUUAAGUCCGCCUAGUGCUUUUGACAACAUUGCUAACAUGUAAUGAUAGAUGUUAUAAGGAAAUAAAUAAUCAAAUUAUGUUAUUACUUAUUGUUGAUUGUUUCAAACUUGUCAUUGCCAUAAAUAAAUGUCCAGCAUAUCUAAAAUAUGUAAACAAUGAUAAUUUGAGAGAACUAUCCUGGAUUCCAAGUAAAAUUGUUAUAUAUCACAGAAAAGUUUCAUUCAAUUUUUAUCCAUUUGGAAGGAACUGCUUGUGGUUUACAUAUGUAGGAACCUAGCGCCUCACCUUGUGCAUUUAUUGAUAUUAAGUCCUGUCUUAAUGUUGAAAUUAUAUGUUUCCUAAAGGUAUGUGGGCCAUCUCAAGGAAA